rnacentral:rRNA from 1 species
CUACGGAGGGUGCAAGCGUUAAUCGGAAUUACUGGGCGUAAAGCGUACGUAGGCGGUCCGUUAAGUUAGAUGUGAAAGCCCCGGGCUCAACCUGGGAACUGCAUUUAAAACUGGCAAACUCGAGUUUAGGAGAGGGAAGUGGAAUUUCAGGUGUAGCAGUGAAAUGCGUAGAGAUCUGAAGGAACACCAGUGGCGAAGGCGACUUCCUGGACUAAAACUGACGCUGAGGAACGAAAGCGUGGGUAGCAAACGGGAUUAGAAACCCCGGUAGUCC